UACUGGUGGCCAUUGUGUGGG
rnacentral:misc_RNA from 1 species